rnacentral:rRNA from 1 species
AACUUAAAGGAAUUGACGGGGCCCGCACAAGCAGCGGAGCGUGUGGUUUAAUUCGAUGAUACGCGAAGAACUUCACCCAGGUUUGACAUGCAUGUGGUACCAAGGUGAAAGCUGAGGGACCCUUCGGGGAGCAUGCACAGGUGUUGCACGGCCGUCGUCAGCUCGUGCCGUGAGGUGUUGGGUUAAGUCCCGCAACGAGCGCAACCCCUGUCGCCAGUUGUAUUUUUCUGGCGAGACUGCCGAGAAAACCUCGGAGGAAGGAGGGGACGAUGUCAGGUCAGCGUGGCCCUUACGCCUGGGGCUACACACACGCUACAAUGGGCAGUACAACGGGUCGCGAAGCCGCGAGGUGGAGCUAAUCCCAUCAAAGCUGUCCUCAGUUCGGAUUGCAGGCUGAAACCCGCCUGCAUGAAGCCGGAGUUGCUAGUAAACGCGCGUCAGCUAUAGUGCGUUGAAUACGUUCUCGGGCCUU